CAUUUGGGGGGAUUUUGGGGUCUUUUGGGGGGUUUCAAAGGGAGAUUUUGGGGUAAAUUCCUCCGGUUUUGGGUCUGUCUGCCAUUUUAUGGCAUUCCAUGAAGGUUUGGGGUCGUUUGGGGUGAUUUGAAGGGAGAUUUUUGGGGUAAAUUCCUCCGAUUUUGGGUCUGUCGUCCGUUUUUUGGCAUUCCGUUAAAGUUUGGGGUUAUUUGGGGGGAUUUUGGGGUCUUUUGGGGGGUUUCAAAGGGAGAUUUUGGGGUAAAUUCUUCUGGUUUGGGGUCUGUCCGCCAUUUUAUGGCGUUCCAUUAAAGUUUGGGGUCAUUUGGGGGGUUUCACAGGGGGAUUUUGGGGUAAAUUCUUCUGGUUUUGGGUCUGUCCGCCAUUUUAUGGCGUUCCAUGAAGGUUUGGGGUCAUUUGGGGGGUUUCAAAGGGGGAUUUUGGGGUAAAUUUCUCCGGUUUUGGGUCUGUUGUCCAUUUUUUGGUAUUCCGUUUAAGUUUGCGGUCAUUUGGGGGGAUUUUGGGGUCUUUUGGGGGGUUUUGAAGGGAGAUUUUCGGGUAAAUUCCUCCGCUUUUGGGUCUGUUGUCCAUUUUUUGGCAUUCCGUUAAAGUUUGGGGUCAUUUGGGGGGAUUUUGGGGUCUUCUGGGGGGUUUCAAAGGGAGAUUUUGGGGUAAAUUUCUCCGCUUUUGGGUCUGUCCGCCAUUUUAUGGCAUUCCGUGAAGGUUUGGGGUCAUUUGGGGGGAUUUUGGGGUCUUUUGGGGGGUUUUGAAGGGAAAUCUUGGGGUAAAUUCUUCUGGGUUUGGGUCUGUCCGCCAUUUUAUGGCAUUCCAUUACAAUUUGGGGUCAUUUGGGGGGAUUUGAAGGGAGAUUUUGGGGUAAAUUUCUCCGGUUUUGGGUCUGUCGUCCGUUUUUUAGCAUUCCGUUAAAGUUUGGGGUCAUUUGGGGGGAUUUUGGGGUCUUUUGAGGGGUUUCAAAGGGAAAUCUUGGGGUAAAUUCUUCUGGGUUUGGGUCUGUCCGCCAUUUUAUGGCGUUCCAUGAAGAUCUGGGUUCAUUUGGGGGGAUUUUGGGGUCUUUUGGGGGGUUUCAAAGGGAGAUUUUGGGGUAAAU
ensembl:lncRNA